UGGUUUUUUAAAUUUUUUUAGUAAUAUUUUAUUAUAAUUAAUUAUAUUUACAUAUAUUAUUUUAUAUUAAAAAUAUAUCUGCCCGAGCAGUGAGCUCGAGUUUUCUGAGUCGAGCAAAGCAAGCCCGGUUUUUAAAUGUCAGGCCGACCGGGGCCCGACUCAUUGUCGAGCCGAUGACAGUCUUAUACUGCCAAACCCAGCCAAGCAAUCUCACACUCGCCUUUGGCGGAGUCUACCGGCACCACUCGCUGGAACCAGCUUCAGGCGCCACAUGGCAGAGUCACCGCCUCAUCGAUGGACGACCGGGGACGGCCACUGCCAGGCGGUCGCCGACUGAGCGGUGAUUUCGAUAAUUGCGGUGGCCACCUCCAAUGAGAUUUGUUGGCAGCUCCACUAGAAAAUAGUAGAACAAUUGGAUAUAAAGCAUGCUAGUGUGCUUUGUAAAAUCAUUCUCACUGUAUUCAAUUUUGUCUCUUACAUUCAAUGGUGAGAACUUUCUAUUGUGGAGAACUCAAGUUGUUACGCAUCUUGAGAUCAAGAUCUCUAUGGCUUCAUUACUGGAGACAUUGUUGCUCCUCUUGCUGAAGUUGUUGA